GUCAGCCACCCUGCGAGUACGCGGUUCGCACCCGGCCGCGCGGCAGCCCGUGCUUGCGCACUGCUCUGUGCCCGCGCCUAUGUCCAGCAGGGGGCGCGCAGCGGCGGUAGCCGAGCGAGGGCGCGGUGGCCUCUGACAGGAAUGACUCUGCGCACGUGCGUUUCGCAGCAGUGGAAGUCUUCACACCCGGAAACUCGACUUUGGCCGUUUCUCCAUUUCUCCUCACGCACUGUCUUUCCUUGGGCCCUCGUCACUCCUGGCACCGGGGGAAGGGCUUCCCCGCCUCUGGCCGGGCGCUGGGGCGCGACCGAAGGCGAGGCGGCGGCGAGGAACCUUCUGGAAUUCGGCCGUCGGGGCAGGCGUCGAGUUUACAGGAGAAGGCGCGGUGUCCCGGGAUGAGCGGAGUCGCCCUCACUUAAGGAGCGAGGGAGGCCUCGGGGGUCCCCAGCCGGUGAUGAGCCCUCCUCUUCAGCUAGGAAAAUGACGGUGUUCAGAAAGUUAAAACUUCUUCGCUGGAAGGAUUUCAUCUUAAAGUUGUUUUAGGCUGUUCUUCAGUGUCUUUGUUUGAACGUUAUAUAAUUGAUGAUCCCAAAGCUUUCUACAUAUUGGCAGGAAUUGUUUUUGACCACAGCGUCAAUGACAGCAAUGGAUCUUUGCCACUUGCGGUUAAGUAUCAAUUGCGCUUCAGUUACUUUCAGAAGAAUUUUAUACUGGGGAAGAAUAUAUUUUUUCAAGAUGACAUAGAAGGCUGGUGCACAUCCUUUCUUUACCCUCCCAAUCCACGCCAAGAACCCCGGGAAUUUCCAUUUGCUGUUGGGGGAAGUCCUGGAUACAACAAAGAAGGCUUCCUGGCCAUACAGUAUGCUGUGGAUAAAGCCAUCAUGUGGUACCAUGCUCACAAUGCAAUGACCAACAUGUUUGAGAAUCUCAAUGUACUUGUGAAGAGAUUCCCAUAUGGACCCUAUAUCGAGGACAGGUUCUUCCUAGUCCUUCAGAAUGAGUUUUCUGUGUUCUUCAUACUCAGCUUCAUGUACAUUGAGCUCAUCAUCAUCAGUUCCAUUGUACUGGAGAAAGAGAAAAGACUGAAGGAUUACCUGUGCGUGAUGGGACUGGAAAGCUGGUUACACUGGGUUGCUUGGUUCAUCACGUUCUUCAUUUCUGUCUUCAUUGCUGUUUCUUUCAUGACCAUUCUCUUCUGCACAGAGGUCUUAUUCCCCCUACAAGUGGAUGUGCAUAUGUCAAUGGAUAUGAAAUUUCACAAGAGAUAUUUCACAUUAGGAAGAGCCUGGGCUGGUGCCCCAACAUGAUGUCUUAUCUGAUAAGUUAACAGUAGCAGAACAUCUUUCUUUCUAUGGUCAGCUGAAGGGCCUGUCACGUCAGAAGUGCCCUGAAGUCAAGCAGGUGCUGCACAUCAUAGGCCUGGAGGACAAGUGGAACUCACGGAGCCGCUUCCUGAGCGGGGGCAUGAGCCGCAAGCUCUCCAUCGGCAUCGCCCUCAUCGCAGGCUCCAAGGUUUGAAUCUCUAUUUACUGACUUGGAACUGAGGCAGGUAGAGCUGGGCAUCUCCAGCUUUGGGGCCUCUGUCAUGACCAUGGAGGAUGUCUUCAUAAGGGUUUGUAUGUUGGCAGAUGCCAGUACAGCUGUCCCAAACAUCAAACAUCCCUCUAUCCAUCCCCAGCCCUGCUUAGCAGAAUUCCUGUUGACAGAAUUAAACAUCUUCAUUCGAGGACCUUCUCAAUACGGACUGGGCUGCCAAUCAAACCAAACACUGGGUUCAGUCUUCUCUGCCAACAAUUUUAUGCCAUGCUCCUGAAAAAGGUCACAUAUUCUUAACACAACUGGAUGUUGAUGUUAUCAAUACAGAUCCUGGUCCCUCUGGUGAUCAUCAUGUUAAGCCUCACAUUCUUCAACUUCAAAGAAAGAAGCAUAGAAAAUGUCCCAUUGGAGCUGACUCUGAAAACAUAUGGUCAGACCAUUGUUCCUUUCUUUAUUUCUCAGAAUUCCAGGCUGGAUCCUCAACUUUCAGAACGCUUUGCAAAUAUGUUUAUGGUUGAGGGACAGAUUCCUCUGGAGGUCCUAGGUUCUGUAGAUGAGUUCCUAUUGAAAAAGGCAAAAGAGGAGCCUGAGGACUUUGAUAAGCUCUACUUAGUGGCAGCUUCCUUUGAAGACGUGGGAAAUCACACCAUAGUGACAGCGCUGUUCAACAACCAGGCAUACCAUUCUUCUGCCCUGGCUCUGGCGCUAUUGGACAAUUUUCUCUUGAAGUUGCUUUCUGGUGCCAGGGCUUCCAUUACCGCAGCCAACCACCCUCAACCUCAGCCAGCCAGGGAGGAUUCAGAGAAUUUCCUGUAUCAGGAACCUAAAGGACAUUACCUUGUUAUCAACUUGCUUUUUGGAUUAGCUUUCCUGUCUAGCUCUUUUUCCAUGUUGACAGUCAGAGAGAGGCGCGUUAAGGCCAAGCUUGUCCAGUUUAUCAAUGGAGUUUAUGUGGCCACUUUCUGGCUCUCCACUCUGCUAUGGGACCUCAUCUCCUUCCUCAUUCCCAGUCUGCUGCUGGUGGUAUGGCGGUGGAUUGGUUACUGUCCUCAGUUUGAUGCUCUGCUGAACUUCAUGACAGGCCAUGAGAUGCUGGUCAUGUAUGCCCAGAUCGGGGGCAUCCCAGAGCACCCCAUCAGUGCUUGUGUGGACCAGAUUCUUGAGGAUUUAGUCAUGUACAUGUACGCCAACAAGCUGGUCAAGACCUACAGCAUGGAGGAGUGUGAGGCCCUGUGCAGCCGGCGGCCAUCAUGGUGCAGGGGCAGUUCAAGUGCCUGGGCAGCCCCCAGCACCUCAAGAGCAAGUUCAGCAGUGGCUACUCCCUGCGGGCCAAGGUGCAGAGUGAAGGGCAGCAGGAGGUGCUGGAGGAGUUCAAGGCCUUCGUGGACCUGACCUUUCCAGGCAGCGUUCUUGAAGACAAGCACCAAGGCAUGGUCCAUUACCAUCUGCUGGGCCGCGACCUCAGCUGGGCGAAGUUGAGCGCACAUUUUUGACGUGACCCACUUUCUGGGGUGUUUGGCACUCUGGAGCAAGCCAAGAAGUACAUGCUGGACAACUACUCAGCAGUCAGGUCACCAUGGAGGACGUCUUCCUGAGCUUCGCAUGCCCUGUGCCCCUGGUCCAAAGCGAAGACCAACGAGAGCAAGCAGAGCAGGUGGGCUCCUCAUCGUGCUCGCUGCCUCCUUCCCUGCCUCCCUCUCGGCUUUCCUCUCAGUCUCCCUCCCUGCCUCCCUCUCAGCUUUUCUCUCGGCCUCCCUCCCUGCCUCCUCCCUCAGAGCCUGUCCUGCUGUAAUAAGGACAGACCAGUGCCAGGUUGGCCCAGGUGUGCAUGGCCUUCCCUGGGUUUCCAGGGCGUACAGAGGCAGCUCUCGACCUAGCUAGCUCAGCACAGGGCUGUCCCCCUAACUGCAGUGCACGGAGCAGAGUGGGGCCCACUGGAGAACUUAAGAGGCCCGCUGGAGAACCCAGGUGCGUUUCCUUAGAAAGGGAUGCCCAAGUCCCACCUGAGUAGCCUGUGGUCUUAUUGAGACCUGGCUGUGGAAGCAGCCUCAGAACAUCUUGCAUGUCCUUUCCAAGGGCGGUGGCCAUGGGGUGACUACAGUACUAACCAUGACCCGACCAGGUGCCAACUCUGUGGUUGGUCCCCUGCAGGCAUUGCGUCAUUUGAUCACAUCACCCUCAGGCCCGGCCUUAAGGGGUCUGUCCUGGUCAUCCCCUUGCUCAUGGGCAAGAAGUCUGCAGGGCAGAGGGAAAUGCUCACCCAAAGCUUGCGCUCUUCCUUCUCUAGAAUCCCCUGCCCAGAUGGUUUGUCCAUCCAGUGCACUCCCUCCCAGGGCAGGCCAUGCCGCCCAACGCACCCUGAGAUGCGAGAUGCAGCAAAGCAGUGGCUCUGCAGAACUUCGGGUAGAGUUUGGAUGGGUGCGUGGAGGUUUCCACACAUGUGUGCAGAUCCCUUGGAAAGCAGGAUAGAGCCAGAAACAGAGAGGAGGGUGCCCGUAGGCCGCUGGGGGCUGGCUCCCAUGGUCACAUGCAAGAGUGAAGCUUCAUGGAGACCAUGAUUCUAAACUCACACCUGGCCUCACAGGUGGUAAUGUCACUGUUCUUCUGAAGGAAGGAGGAAAUAAAUAUUGACAAGUUUGCUAGCCUAAGUCG